AGUGAACGCUGGCGGUAGGCCUAACGCAUGCAAGUCGAACGGCAGCACAGGAGAGCUUGCUCUCUGGGUGGCGAGUGGCGGACGGGUGAGGAAUACAUCGGAAUCUACUUUUUCGUGGGGGAUAACGUAGGGAAACUUACGCUAAUACCGCAUACAACCUACGGGUGAAAGCAGGGGACCUUCGGGCCUUGCGCGAUUGAAUGAGCCGAUGUCGGAUUAGCUAGUUGGCGGGGUAAAGGCCCACCAAGGCGACGAUCCGUAGCUGGUCUGAGAGGAUGAUCAGCCACACUGGAACUGAGACACGGUCCAGACUCCCACGGGAGGCAGCAGUGGGGAAUAUUGGACAAUGGGCGCAAGCCUGAUCCAGCCAUACCGCGUGGGUGAAGAAGGCCUUCGGGUUGUAAAGCCCUUUCGUUGGGAAAGAAAUCCAGCUGGCUAAUACCCGGUUGGGAUGACGGUACCCAAAGAAUAAGCACCGGCUAACUUCGUGCCAGCCGCCGCCGUAA
rnacentral:rRNA from 1 species